rnacentral:rRNA from 1 species
GACGAACGCUGGCGGCGUGCCUAAUACAUGCAAGUAGAACGCUGAAGCUUGGUGCUUGCACCGAGCGGAUGAGUUGCGAACGGGUGAGUAACGCGUAGGUAACCUGCCUGGUAGCGGGGGAUAACUAUUGGAAACGAUAGCUAAUACCGCAUAACAUUGACUAUUGCAUGAUAGUCAAUUAAAAGGUGCAAUUGCACCACUACCAGAUGGACCUGCGUUGUAUUAGCUAGUUGGUGGGGUAACGGCUCACCAAGGCGACGAUACAUAGCCGACCUGAGAGGGUGAUCGGCCACACUGGGACUGAGACACGGCCCAGACUCCUACGGGAGGCAGCAGUAGGGAAUCUUCGGCAAUGGACGGAAGUCUGACCGAGCAACGCCGCGUGAGUGAAGAAGGUUUUCGGAUCGUAAAGCUCUGUUGUAAGAGAAGAACGAGUGUGAGAGUGGAAAGUUCACACCUGUGACGGUAUCUACCAGAAA